rnacentral:lncRNA from 1 species
UCUGUUAAUUGGCCUCUGUCGAUUGAUUUGGUCUGCCUAAGUUAUUAUGGUUGGGUAUCCCUCUGCUUGUUAUAAUGGUCUCAGUGCUGGAUGUUUGCCUUGUCUUAAUGGGUGGAUGUUUGGUUAGGAAGAGAGUGUUGGAUUUGAGCUCCGCCGGGCUGUUAAGAUGUUGUCCAUGAUGGUUGGCAACUUGGCAUGGUUGGUUGCAAAGAGAAUUUGAGAUUGUGUGCUUGAUGUGUUUACAGUUCUGCUAAUGAGGGUGCCUUCUAAUAGGGGGUGUCUGCUGUUAGCUUCUUGCUGCGAGAUUCGGUUAUCUGGUGCCCAUGCUUUAGGCUUUCAUUCUGUGUCUAUGCAUGUUGACCAACUGCUCCUGAAUGUGUUUCACGCUUGCUAUGCUCAUCGGGUCUGCUUGUUUUUGCUUGCCACCUUCAGCUAUUAUGUUAUGUUAGUUCUCUGCUUUAGUGAUUAUCUGCACUUCUCAAUUACAGACUUCAUUGCUUCUACAUAUGGUUUCUCUGUUUAUUAAUUUGCCUUGCUUUCUUUCAUGGUCCUUACUUUCUGUUUGGCAGCUUGUUUCAGUUACAACUGAGUUCUUGGGUUGCACUUUGUUGUUGGAAACUACUUACUGGUGGAGCUGCUGCUCGGUUCAUAGGGUAAGUCGUGCCUUGCUAUGUUUCCUAUUGCUUGCUAUUUAGUUGUGUUUAUUACUAUUUAUUUCAUAGGCUUCUGUGUUCUUCCCUUUGUAUGGUCUGCGUUGGUAUUUUUCCGGUUGCUCCUUAAUAAUUAAUUAUUAUAAGCAUUUUUAUUAUCAGUUCUUCCUGUGUGCCUCUGCUUGAGGCUGUUGCGAGCUAUUGUCGAUUGCCGUUUCAUUCUUAUGUUUGAGAGGUGGCAUCUGAUGGUUUUCUGCUUGGAGGGGUGGAGAUUGAUGUUCUUACUAGGGAUGACGUGGUGCCGUGUCAAACCAAUUUCUACAAGGGAUAUAUGGGUUUGUUGUUGCAGAUUACAAUUACGAUAGCAUGUUAGCAUAUAAAAGGUGUUGCGCAGUCGGUUCUGGUGCUUGCAGGUGCGCUUGCCCAGCCUGCCUGGCCUCUGGUACAUGCAGGCGGGCAGGUUGAUGUCGCUGGUAUAAAUACAAGUGUUCAAUUACAAUUAUUGUAUUCACAGCUGGUCAAUUCAGUGUCUGGGUUCUAAAGCCCAUCUAGGAGUGUCUUAGAUAGAUUAUGUCUGGGUCAUUAUAUUGUUCCCUUGGGUAUGCUUGUAAUAAACAUCUCUUUGUAUGCAUGAAUCAUUAUUAUUUCAUUCAAUUGGCUCCACUGUCUCUUGUGCUCCUGUUUGAUACUUUUUUGCAUUUACCUGUGCUGUCUUUACUUCGCUUUUGUCUUAAUAUGCAGUAUUUGCAUAUAUGUGUGCUCAUUGCUGAUGAUGGCUCGCCGUCGGCGUGUUUUGCAUGCUCCUGUUGUUGGUGUUUGUGGUAUUCGUAAGAGAAAUGGUAUGUUGUCUAUAUGGUCAUUUCCUUAGGUUUUGUUUGGCUUGCAUCUGUUCAUUUGUGUCGGUUCUGUCAUUUUCUAGGGGAUGCCUGGUUCCCAGUGCUCACUCCUGCCAUGUUGGCUAGAAAUCGGAAGAGGCAUAAAUUACUUAGGGGCCUUCGUUGCCAUGGUGUUACAUGUACUGGUUUUCUUGGUCGGGGUUCCUGUCUUUCCGUCCUUAGUAUCUUUGUUUUGGCUGUUGUUUCUCAUAACAACAUGCAUGUAGAUCUUCGGUUUGAAGGGGACUUGCCAACUGAUUGGACUGGUUUUCCUGUCGAGGUAGUUAACAAUCGCAAAGGUACUAACUAUUAGGUUGAUGUUAGUUUUGUGUUUUCCUUUUCCUGUCAUGAUGGCCUCCUUGAGUAUUGUGUUUUCUGUAGUUUCCUAUAAGGACAGAUCUUACUAUGGUCCUCCUGAGUACCAGUGCCCUCACUGCAAGGCUUCUUUUUGGUUUGAGGAGAGGGCCAAUCCAUAUUCUUCAUGUGUGCUACGUAAAAUUGUUUAUAACCUUUGUUGCAAAGGUGGAAAAGUCGUUGUUAAACCUUUCAAAAAUCCUCCUGCUUUAUUGAGUCAUUUAUUAUCCUGUCAUGGUGAUCGUGUUUCCAAGCAAUUCCUGACAAAGAUACCGCAUCACAGUUGGACGGCAUUUACGUCUAUUGUGGCGACGUCAUUCGUUCGCUGGAAGGCACGCAGGGGUUAAUAUCUUCAAAAUUUGUGGUCAGGUCCAUCAUCUUAUUGGUUCUCUUUUGCCGAUGAAAACGAUUGUGCCGUCCAGCCAUACCACUGGUCGGUGUUACUACCAGGAGAACUUUCAGGAUGGUCUUACAAUUUGUUGAGUGGAUGAGGCCCCUGAUACUUUUACUAUUUUUACAUGUAGUCCAAUGUGGCUUGAGAUUACUAAGAUGAAGCUUAACGAAUAUCUAGAUGAAAUCCAGUCAGGCCAUGCCUAUGGUCCUAUAAACGCUGGUACCAUUUUAUUUACCCUUUCCAUGCAACUACAGCUUGAAAUUUCUGACUGAUGUUUAAGGCUUCUUGUUUUUCUAUCUCAUUUUCUGUUGUUUUGCUUUGCUUUGCAGUUCUGUACACCGUCGAGUUUCAGAAGUUCCUGGUAUUCCCGUGGAAGUAUGUUUUUAGACCAGUGGAAGGUCAUUUAAUGAUUAAGUUUAUAAAGCGCACUGAACUUGUGGAGAGAACUGGAAUGGAAGCAGAGUUCCCCUUCUGUACGUAUGCAUUGACUCCAAUAGCUCAGCUCCCUAGGCCUACAGAUAUGCCUGAACGCUUUACAAGUGAUUUUGUGACUAAUCAUCUUUUCUCUCGUUUGUUUGGUGGUGAUUUUAUAAUAACUCUUCUUUGCUUGCGUAGAUGUCAUUAGAGUGAUUACUGGAAUCUCUGAAGCUGUUCAAGUAUGUUAGUGCAAAAUCUCAGUGCGUUCUUUUUAAAGACAAAGCAGUUUGUUGACACAGACAAAGAGAGCUUGGCAACUUCCAGAUCAUCUGUAUUUUCAAACUUCUCCUUCCUUCUAUGCUUAUUUAUGUGUGUUUCUUCUCACAGGCCAUUGAAACAGUCGGAUCAGUUAAUGAGUCUGUUGCUGAAAAGGACAAUUCACCACAACUUGGCAGUUCCAUGGAGAAAGAUAACUUACCAUUGCCUGACAGACCUCUGAUGCAAAAAGGUGCUCGCCAUUUCUUUACUUAUACCCCAGUGCUUUGCUUGCAUUGCAAGAUACUCAAUCUAGUGUGCCAUUUUCAGGCCCCAACCAUCUGUGCCUGUCGAUGCUCGAAGCAAUCCGAGCAAGUGGGGCAGAUAGAAGUAGAAAC